UACGAAGGGGGCUAGCGUUGUUCGGAAUUACUGGGCGUAAAGCGCGCGCAGGCGGUCUUCCAAGUCAGUGGUGAAAGCCCGGAGCUCAACUCCGGAAUUGCCGUUGAAACUGUAAGACUUGAGGAUGAGAGAGGUGAGUGGAAUUCCCAGUGUAGAGGUGAAAUUCGUAGAUAUUGGGAAGAACACCGGUGGCGAAGGCGGCUCACUGGCUCAUUUCUGACGCUCAGGCGCGACAGCGUGGGGAGCAAACAGG
rnacentral:rRNA from 1 species